ensembl:lncRNA
GUCUAAAGAUUAACUCUUCAACACUGCUCACUGUGCAAGAACUGGGGCAGGUGAAAAACUGGAGGAAGUCCCCGUGUCAUCCUUCAGAGCAAAGGAGGAGUACCACGGGAGCCAGAUGCACAAAUGACUACUAAAAGGGAUCGGGAAAUACACAGAGGAAAGUCUGUUGCUGGGUCAGACAACUCAGCUGUUGUCCUCAAAUCUGCCCAGACUGCUACUUUACAGGAAGUUUGGCAAAGAUGCAAAAGGACAGCUAAACUUUGGCUAGACAACCCAAAACACUGUGUUCUACUUUGAAAGCAUUUCCAACAACAAAAAAGAGUGAAGUGCCUUGAAUCCAUAGAAAGCUAAAGGAACAGCAAAGGCAUCUGGCAGCAGGAAUUUGUUGCCAAACUUGUGGUUGCGUUGUGUUGGCUUACGGACUGGUUUGCCAGUUUUCAGUAACUUGCAUCAAGCGCAGCUGAAACCCACUUUUCUAAAGCCUCAGAUGGUGUCAGAGCUAGAGAAGCCUCAAGGAGUCUCCCUUCCUCUUCUCAUCUGGUCAGAACCAAAGGGAUAAAUAAAUAAGCAUCACCACAGCAGUCUGACUCUGAAAGGGGGACAAGCAACCCUUGACAACGUGGCCACAAAGUCUGACGCUGUGCAACCCAUGCAAUGCCAUGUGGUGCCAUUGGGGUUGUGCAGCAUCCUUCCUGCCCCACCAUCAGGCCACCAGGACCCUCUCCUGGGAGAAGGCAUCACGAUUUACAGGACAUCUAUCUUACAUGCAAAAUCAUUUGACUUUGAAAAGAAUGUAUGCUCAUAGUACAAGCGCUCCGGACACCACUGGAAACAUUAAGAUGAUUCAGUCUUCCCAAAGAAUUUCAGAUGGGUUACAGGAUUAAUGUGGCUGCUACAUCUGGGGAGAAGCCAGUGAUUAUGCUUAUGGAAGGCUCCAGCACCAUGCCCUUCUCACUCUGAGGCACAAUUUUGGCCUGGGUGAAUGAGCUGCAUCCCAGCAGUCAUACAGGGCUCAGGUGAUGCUACAUCUUAGGAGUCACCCCAGGAAGCUGCUCACAUAUUGCUGCCUUGUUUUGAGGGGAAAGAUUUCCAACCACAUGGAUACAAGCUGUACCAUGGCACUUGCCGAAAGGAAUGGAGAACAAAUCCCCAAGCACUUCACUAAUACAAACCAAGGAAAUUAAGCAAAAGGUCCCUUCCAGUACUACAUCACGUGCAUUGACAUAAGGAAAAGUUAGAUAGAUGAACUCUACUUCGCUGGAUAGAACUGCCCACAAUUAAUCCAAGAGCCUCCUCUCCCAAACCAACUAUUUUUUUUUUAUUUUUUUAUCUCCCUCACCACCUUUAUUAUGAAAAUGCAUAUCUCCAAACCACUACUGCAGAAGUCCACUGGACUCUUUGGGCUAAGCAAAGCAUGAACGUGCCUUUGCUUUACGGUGUCCACUCUGGGACAGCUGAAAAACAUCAAGCUUAUAGAAAGCUGGAAGCCUGAUGUUCCCAGCCCCUUGAAAACCUAAGUAUGGUAUUUCAUAUUUAGCACCCAGAUCCUCAACAUUUGCUCCUAGAGAGCAACAAUGACAACAAUAACAGCAUCCACACCCUGCACCACAACAAUUAUCUGAUGAAAACAAAGCACUUCGCAAGGGAGGCGAAACAUCAACAUUCUUGAUUUAGGAACUGUGCAACCAGAGGAUAAGAAAUGAAGUCACCUACCAGGCCCAUUGAGCUGAAGCAGCAGCAGAGCCAGAGUCCCUGUGCAGAUCCCCAAAACAAGCCUUUAUGCGCUGGGCCACACCUUGAGUAGAGCAGGUAGUAUCAUGCUUGACUCUCUCACAGAGCUGGUUAAGCCGUAGUUAGGAUCAGGGAGCACUUCAAAAGCUGUGGAAUAAUAAUAAUAAACGAAGCACCAUAUAAAUGCAAAGCAUAAUUAUUAUUCAACAGAUAUUGGAAAAAUUACUGCAGUUUGUAUUUGUUUUUCUGUAUUUGUGGGAUUUAUGUUGUUUCAACACUCGAACAGAUUUUGAUAAUGACACCAUCUGUUAAUUCUCACCCCUCACUAAAUUAGAACAAGUGGCAGAAUUGUUAGAUCGCAGCUUUACAGAUCCCAGCUUAACAAAUCAGAGCCCAGGGUCAGUAUGAGGGAUUACCAGUGGUGGGACACAGCACCCAGCAAGGCACCACUUCCAACCACAGCUCAGGGAAGAGCAGGGGAUCAGCAGGAGCAGCACCACUCCCACAGAACCCUCUGGAAAAGAUCUUUGGGAAGUGACAUCCUCUGUCCUGUUCUCACUAUGUGAAGUUCACUACCUUAGGUUCUGUUCAGACUGGUGGCCAGCAGCAGGUGAGUAUUUCAGAUUUGAUUUAUCUACAUGAUGGGAUGGACACCUGGGUGCAAGUUAAAGGCUUGCUAGUUAAAACCAGCUUCAGGUGUGUCUGCAUGAGGCAACUGUACCCCUAGCUAGAUGACUCCUUAAAUCAACAGUGCUAGAUUAGGGUCCAAGAUGGUGUAAGUUAUGACUAUUCCAUACCCAGAACAAAUGAACUGCCUGCAAAAAAAAAUAUAUAAAAAAAAAUAUGCCUGUUGAGCCAGAUGACCACAAGCAUAUAUUAAUAAUACAUAUUCAAGUAAAAUAUAAGCUUACAAUUAGUUUGUAGGUUUUUCUCUCCUAUUUGCCAUAAAUACUGAUAUCUCUACUCUACACUUAAGGUAUAUUCUUCCUUGCUCUCUGUGAUUGUAUAAGUUUAUAUUAGCUUAAAACACAUGCAAAAGGGUGAUCAUGCCACAUGCAGGACACACUCUGAAAAUAGAUGGCUCCUGGUCUCUGGACAACUUUUUGUAUAGGCUGUUGGACAUCCCUUAGUUUUUCUGAGAGCCUUUUAACCCUCUCCUCCUGAAUUCGUCUUGAACAUGCCAUUCUUUUCUCAGGUAGUGAAUUAAAUUUGAUUCAAUUGAAACCUAUUUAAUGUAGCCAUUUUUUAAAAAGAAUGGACUUUUACCACACGUUGUAAUACAAGGAUGCCUCACUAUACAAGGCAACAGGGAGUCUAUGAAUGUUAUUUAUGAAUGUUUGGGACACAUUUACAAAAUCUCAGCCCUCCACGCUGAUGAUUAUGCAAGUCAGGCACAGUACUGCUUCUUAGACACUUACUUGUCUAGCAAUACCCCUGGUGGAGCUCACCAUAUUAAACUUGUUUGGUAUUCAUCAUCACUGUAACACCUAAUUACCUUAUGUCCAGGAAUGAAAUAGGUUUCCUACCUGCCAUAAACACAAUUUCCCAUUGCCUUAUAAGGACUUACAAGAAAGUGGAUGUAAUGCAGGAAAAUGGGCUUCUUUCCUCUUUAGACUGGAAUCUAAAGGUAUAUCUCAGGAUAUGUUUGUAUCAAGAAGACAACUGGGUGAAGCACAGGGACCAUUUGUCUGUCCUAAAGUCAUACAAAAUAUCAGUGGUAGGCUUAAGCAAAAGUCUUUAGAUUUUCCAAACUCUAUUUCCAUGUCUGGAAGUCAACCCUUCCAACCAGAAUUUCCUCCAGCAGAAGAAGUGCGAGCUCUCACAGCAUCACAGAACUUUAGGCCUUGGAAAGAACCUCUGCAGAUCAUCCAGUCUAACUUACUGCUGAAGCACUACAGUAGGUUAGAGAAUCAUGGAACUGUUUGAGUUGGAAGAGACUCUUAAAGGUCAUCUGGUACAACCUCCCUGCAAAGAACAAGGACACCUACAGCUCGAUCAGGUGCUUAUAGCUUGUCCAGCCUGACCCUCAAUGUCUCCAGGGACAGGGCGUCCACCCACUCUCUAGGCAACCUGUGUCAGUGCCUCACAAUUCUUACCGUAAAAACUUUCUUUAUAUCCAAUCUAAAUCUCCCCUGGGCCUACUUCUCAGCCUGCCUAGGUCUCUCUGAAUUGCAUUCUGCCCAUUGGGUGUGUUGACCACACUACGCAGCUAGGUGUCAUCCACAAACUUGCUGAGGAUGCACUUUAUCUCACUGUCAAUGCCAUUGAAGAAGAUGUUAAAGAGCACUGGUCCCAGCACUGACCCCGAGGGACGCCACUCACCACUGAUCUCCAUCCAGACACUGAACUGACACACUGACCACCACUUUCAGAGUAUGAUUUCACAAUCAGUUCCUUGUCCAUCAAACAGUCUACCCAUCAAAUCCACAUCUUUCCAACUUGGAGAGAAGGGUGUUACAGGGGACCGUGUCAAAGAUCUUUCUAAAGUCCAGAUAGAUUACAUCAGUGGCUCUUCCCUUGUCUACUGACAAGCUUAUGCCAUUGCAGAAAGACACUAGGUUGGUCAGGCAGAACCUAAUCUUGGUGAAGCUAUGCUGAUUGUCUCGUAUCACCUCCCUCUCUUCCAUGUGCCUUAGCAUAGCAUCCAGGAUCCAGGAUCUUCCCCGGCACUGAGGUGAGGCUGACUGGUUGGUUGUUCCCUGGAUCAUCCUUUCUAUCCUUUAGAAUGAGUGUGACAUUGCCUUUUUAUCCAGUCAUCAGGGACUUCACCUGACUGCCAUAACUUUUCAAAUAUCAUUGAGAGUGGCUUGGCAACUACGACAUCCGGUUCCCUUGGGACUCUUAUUGGGACCAACAGACUGAUGGAUUUUCAAAAAUCUCAUCUUUGCUUACAGUGGGAGGGGUAUUGUUCUCCUAGUUCUCACCUUCUGAACCAUCUGCUCUAGGGGUGUGUGAAGAGCAGUUGCCAGUCAAGACUGAGGCAAAAAAGUUGAGUAUCUGAGCUUUCUCCUCAUCCAUUGUCACCAGCGCUCCUGUAUCGCUCACACUGACUGUGACUAUUUGAAGCAUAUUGCCGUUAGCUCAGAGUGCACCCUAAGUGACAUCAAGCCACUUGCUGCUGUUAUUGAGGGGCAAUUAUUCCUAAAAAGGAAGAAGAACGAGGCAUUUACUAGGCAUUAUGGGCACAUGGUUGACAUCACUGGAAGCCAAUCAGGAUCCCUGAAUUCAGGCCAGCUUUCUAAAGCCCUUUAUGUCACUGCUUUACAAAAGGUAUUUGAUACCAUUGCUGCAUUCUCAGAUAUGAUCUCAUCCUUGACCCUGUUUGGCACUCUUAGGAAUAGCUCCCUCAGGUUUACUUUUAUCAGGUCAUAAAGGACACCAUAUUCCCUUGACUAUAAGAUGUACUAAAACUUGUAUCAUUUGUAACUGGAAAUCCUGUAAAGCUGCCUGACAUUUUUGGUUGACAAAAAUUUGAAGUCAAAGUUGGAAUGGACAAGGAGGAAGCUUCUAGGAUCACAAAAGGGUGUGUUUAGUAGAGGAAACUGAAAUCUGGAGCACUAUUCCCUAAAUACUCUAAGGGCCAAGAUUUUGUGUAGUAACAGCAGGGCUGUGUCCCUUUUUGGAGUAAUAAACACAUGGUCCCUCACUGCCUUGUCUCAAUAAAAUUACAAAUACAUGUUAUGUAUGAUAUUAAAUAUUUUCAGUCUUUCCCAGCUCUACUCUAAUUGGACGUAUUUUACAACAAUUGCUGCAAUUUUCAACCGAGCUUUCUGUGAGGAACCAGAGCAGUGCACAGACACCUCACAGUGACCUGGGGGCUCAUGGAGUUACCCUUUAUUUUGCAGAGAUGCAAACUAAGUAUGCGGAAUUAAACAGUUUGCCUGGCAUCACAGAGUGGUCAGAUAUUUGGGGCAGAAUAUAAGCAAUGCGCUAACCAGCAUUGUGAAUCUCAACAAGCUGGCAGGUUGGGGGGUGGCACCAAGGGGCCAAGAAGGCUCAAGUCACAGCUGGCACAGGCCAGCAUACAAGAUGAGGGGCAGAGAAUAAGCGGAGGCUAAAUAUACUCCAACUCCUUGUAGACUCUGUGCUGGCAGUGGGCCAGCCUGCUGCAGCAAUAGACAGGGUAGGUUUGAAGCACUCUCCACUGCCAGCUAGUCAGCUCUGCUUUAAACUAACCCAGCUGAUUUUAUACCGAAACAGAUGAUGGGUCCCCAUAAAACCAAUUACACAAGCAGACAUGAGCGGGGAAGGCUCUAGAUGAAGUGUGGUGCUUUACAAAUAUCUUGAACCUUCACCAUCUUCCCAGCAGUGGCUGUUGACAGUGACCUAAAUUCUUAAAUCCAUCAGAAAGACAAAGUUGCUGGUUAACCUAAGCUACAUCACUUCCAGGGGGCUUUGUCUAAAAGCGCUAUACAGAUGAUGAAGAGAGGCUUUCUGAGACCAUUCCUCCAUUUGAUGUCAACAUGUAGCAAUGAAUUCACUCAAGAAGUUCCUGUGGAUUGCUUUCCUGUUAGAGUCAUCCAUUUCUCUGGGCUCCUUUUAUUACAGCCUCUGAUCUUUCCAACUAAAAGAAACCACAAUACUGCUUUACUGGAGACUUGUUUAAGUCCUGAUAUAAAAUGACGCUCACGUAUACCGUUAACAAUUCCACUACAAUCCAACCACUUAGUAUUAAAUCAGUUUAGAUAAAAUAAAACCCUGGUGUCUGUAAAAGUAUGUGUAUUUGCAUGGAUAUAAAUAUACUUCAACUGCUAAAUUUACAUGCUGAGCCUACAUUUUCUGCAAUAAAAUAUUUAAGUGGUUUCAACUCUACAGUGAGAUUUAGAAAAAAAAAUACACAAAAACUCAUAAGAUAGAACAAGAUAUCAGCAUAGGACAGCACUGACUGGACACAAUCAAUCACCUGUAUGAGUACAAAAUAAAUAUCUUCACUGUGGACUGGCAAGAGCUAAUACGGAUCUUAAGAGACAAAUGGCCUCAAUAAUACCACCUAAUGCAAUAGUAAACUAGGACUAAGCUUCCAUUUUAAUGCCUAGCACUUAAAUAUCUGGAAAGUCUGAUAAAGAACUGCCUGAGGCUGAGCCAAAACAGAGUGAAAUGUGGGGCUGUGGUCCAGCCCCAUCACACGACUGAAGCUGGUGGAGGCCUAGGAGAGCAGUUAGCCACUACCAUGGAGUCCAGUAAUAGCUAAAUGCUUUGUUUCCCUUCCCAGUUCAUUUUUCCCUAUGCUUUGGAAACUGGCCUUUCCUGAAAAGCCACCUUUGUGGUCGCUCAGUCAUCACUGAGGCUGGACUGGUGGCAGGACUUGCUUGAGCUGAGUCCUGGUAGUUCAAGUGGAAGCUCUCCCACUUGUCAUCACAGAAUAUAUGACCUUAUUACUCCUCCCUCAGUUCUGGCACUGACUGCUAACACUGUUUGCAGCCAGUGAAGUUUCCUCAGUGCUCUCUGCUGUCGUCUCUCCCAGCUCCUUCUGCUUUUGUUUUCCAAUUGCAGCAAAAAUAUGUGAAUCCCAUUUUCUGCCAACACCAAGAUGAACAAACUCCAGAAAACAACAUGAAAGAUAGCAAAGCAGGAAGAAACGUCAUCGGGUUAUGCUUCUGGCAAAGGACAUGUUCAAAGCUGCAGGAAUGUAUCGGUGUAUGGACGAGAUGAUGCCACUUGUUGCUGCUGUGUGUGGACAGAUUAAUGAACCGUGGCCCUCAGCAGCUCGGAUUUAUCUCGGAUUUUGCUGGCUGGGAGCACAGAGUUAGAGAAGCCACAGGACAAGCCCAUCAUCAUGGAGAAAGUUGGCAACAGACUGAGACCUGCUGGCUUGCCGCCCUGGGCUCUGAGCUUCCUGCAAGCUUCUUGCUAGCAAGGGGCAUUGUAGAAGAGCUGUGGACCCAGGUGGUCCAGGGCAAGGCAGCUCCUUUUCCACUGGCUUUGAGAAGGUGGUCGGCUGGGAUGGGGAGAUGGCAGCCCAGCAGAUCCUCGCUGGCUCAGAGCAGUCCCUCUGGUCGAGCUCCCCUUGCACAGCCCUAUCCAACAGGCAUUGUCUGGAAGCAAUUAGAGAGACUUUUAUUUUUUUUCCAUCGUUGCCUGACAACCUCAGCAGACGCACAUGUAGUCAUCCCCCUCUGCUUCUAAAGAACUUUGCUUACUAUUAACUAUUUAAAUGUUGAAAGUAUUAAAGCUAAUUGAACUCAUUGCUCAGAGAACUGAGUCUGAGGUCAACUGUCGUCUACGGUAACACUGUUUGGGUAAAAGGACUUGGGGGUAGUUUAGAAAUCUUUAGAAAAGCGCUCAUGCCUGCCCAUAUACUUGUCAGUCCUACUUGUCGUUACUGGUGGGAUUUUUGGUCAGGCAAACAGAUGGCACUGCUUUCAGAACUCCUCCAUGAGCAGUUGAAAGAACCAGCUACUGAGUCAGCUCUGAGAGUAGUGACACGAGAUGCUCCUAGGCCAAAUUUAAGCAUCUUGCUUCGGGUGCUUCGCAUGGGACAGUCAUUCUCUAUGGUCCCUGGUGGGGCAAGGGAGGAGGGAAGAUAAGUUCUUCCAUAGGACAAUUCUGAUUCAUAUUUAGAUGCCUUCUGGAGGGACUUUUGUGACGCUGUUUCUUUGUCAGCUGUAUGGGAAACCUAGAGAAAUCAUCCUCCAGCUGUAGAUACUGAGAAUAUCCCCUCGGAGGGUCAUACUGAGAAAGACUCCCAGACAGCAAAUGAGAAAAGCUGCCUUGACUUCAAAGGUGUUAUUGUUGACUUACAUCCUGCUGAGGAUUCAGCCCAGUGUUUUUAAAAUGCUAAUGCUCCCCAGCCUGCGGUGAACAAAUUUAUUCUGAUCGCCAUACAUUCUGGGAGAAAAAAAAGGAAAGGAGGGAGGAGAACUUGGUGGGUCUUAAUGGAGCAGCAGAGGAUUCAUCCCUAAAGGUGGCGGAACAUUGGCUGCUGUAAAACCUGAGUGACACCAGGACCAGAUCUUAGAGCAGUGCUGUUCUCUCAGUGCUGUGAGAGCACCUCACAGAAUCAUGGAAUCACAGAAUGGCUUAGGUUGGAGUGGAC